rnacentral:rRNA from 1 species
UAACACAUGCAAGUCGAACGGUGAAGCCCUUUCGGGGGUGGAUCAGUGGCGAACGGGUGAGUAACACGUGAGCAACCUGCCUCUGGCUCUGGGAUAACUCCGGGAAACCGGGGCUAAUACUGGAUAUGACGCAUUCUCGCAUGGGGGUGUGUGGAAAGUUUUUCGGCCAGGGAUGGGCUCGCGGCCUAUCAGCUUGUUGGUGGGGUGAUGGCCUACCAAGGCGACGACGGGUAGCCGGCCUGAGAGGGCGACCGGCCACACUGGGACUGAGACACGGCCCAGACUCCUACGGGAGGCAGCAGUGGGGAAUAUUGCGCAAUGGGCGAAAGCCUGACGCAGCGACGCCGCGUGGGGGAUGAAGGCCUUCGGGUGUGUAAGCCUCUUUCAGCGCCGAAGAAACGGAAGUGACGGUAGGCGCAGAAGAAGCACCGGCUAACUACGUGC